UCCCUUAUAUUUCAUAUUGUCUUAUAUUGUGUUCUGUGUUUGAAACAUUGUUUUAUUCUGGCCAGGUUUCCCUUGAAAAAGAUUUUUAAUCUCAGUGGUAAAAACACAGAUUUAAAAGCGACAGGAUGCCAUUCACUCUGAACUGAACCAUAUCAAAACAUGCUGGUAGAACACACACUCUUACUCAAGAUUGAAGUAGAUGGAAGUGGAAGGUUCAGUUUUAUGCAAUGUCCUCUGAUGUGGCAACUGAGUGAACUAAUUGUUGGCUGCCUGAUCGUUGUCAUGCAGGUUUCACUGGCCAAUGCAUCACAGUCUAGUGGAGCAAAGCUGCAGCAUUGUACUAUACAUUCUCUACUUAUUCUUAGAAUGAGGAAGGGCUUGUCUAUGGCUGUUUGACUGGCAGCCUGAAAUAACAAGAGAAGCUUUUCUUUUGUUUUUCUCAAUGUUGGUAUUGAUGAAAUGCUAGCACUGAGGGACCUUGUGUUCAUGUCCGCAUCCACCAAAAUAAAUGUAUUUUAAGGGAUUUGUAACAACUCGUGAAGUUGCUUGCAGAGGUGAGGUCUUUGGUGCACUGGAUGUCAUUGGGCAGCUCCGUCUCUGCCAGGUCAGUCCCAAAGCUCUGUAACAUCUGGGCUGUUGUUUUCACUGUCAUGGCAAAGUUUUCUAUGGCCUAUAAGGGAAAAAGAUCCAUCUGUGACUAAUACUGACCACUGUUAACCUUAAGUCUAAAGUUGAGCUGAACAAUAUUUAAUGGUGCAAGUUGUGAUGGAAAUUCAAAUUGAGAUGGAAAUUAUUUUGUCUGUGCAAUAAAGACUCAGUCUGUCGAUCUGGAACAAAAGCUUUGGUUUUAUUGAUCUUGCAAGAGGGAGAAACAACAUGCACAAAAAGAUGAAACAACAUGCACAAAUUGAAAGAUUAGUUGUCUGCAUCACACAGAAGGUUUUCCAUACAAGGCGUUGUUUGUUCUCUACUGCGGAAGUGAAACUUCUGUCUGGUACACCACAAAAGUGAAACAGACAGCAACUGUCUGGUACAUCAUGUUCUUUGUUAUCGAUGUUCAAAUGCCUCAGUACAGACAUACAUGAAAAGGUUACAAUUUUCCUUUACAAUGUUUACUUACAGUUCGGUGGUGAAUCCACUGACUGUGACAAUACUCCAGGUUUCCUCCGAGCUCCCUGGUCAGCUGGCCUUUUUCCACAUAGCCAUGAAGGUCCGACAGAGAGUUCAGCAUCACAAUCUGCAAACGCAUCCACUUCAAUUUAGAUCAUGAGCUACAUUACGUAACAUAGAUGACCAAUUGUGCCCUAAUGAGUUCAGUGUAAAAAAGAGACAAAAGAAAUCUACAUUUUCAGUGUCUCUUUAAAGGCCAAGUUGACUGAUUUUAGGAUAUUUCAACAUUUAUCACUUAUGAGUUCACCUACUAAAAACACUAAAAUACAAUAAAUCUUGAGCAACUAUUUAAAUUCAAUUAAAUUCAAUAAUGUUAUAUUAUCAUAUCCUGUUCAUUGUGAAAACUCCAGGGAAGGUUUUGGGGUUAAUAUAAGGUUGAAGAAAAUGUAAAAUCUGCACUGGUUUCGUUGUCAUUUAGUCAGUUCUUUUUCUUGCUUCUAACAGAAAAGACUGGGAGAGUGAAGAUGUGAAAGGAAGUACAAAAACAGAAGGUGCACACUUCAAUAGUUGAGAGGUGAUGGUUGAAAAUCGUGGAGGAAACUAAGGCCCUGUCUUCUCUUCUUCAUUUGCGGAUUUUAUUAAUCUUGGGGGAGAUUCAUUGAAAACACAGGAUGUGUUUGAUAAGCUGAUUCCAAACAUUUUAGGCUCACACGUUUAAAGUGAAUUAUAUUACAUCAACAGAAUAAUAAACUUUAGUGUUUCAUAUUGGCGAAACCAAUUAUUUUAAUAUUUUUUCUUUGUGAUUGCAGCUGAUGUUAGUAUGGUUGGAAACUGUAUGCUGAUAAGUGGUACCUUCAUUUUAAAGUCGUCCUUGUGCAGCUUGAUCCCGAUGUCUGCCAUGGCCCUUUGGAAAAACCUGGACGGCCUCAGCACCAGCACCAGCUGCAGGUUUCCUGGAAAUGCUCCCUACAUAACACAACAGCAUGUAAAGCCAUCCAAUCCAUUCAUUCUCUCAUUUAUUUGGUCAUAUUCCUUUAAGAGGCUAUACCAACCAGAAGGUAAAUGGUGGGACCACAAAAUCGGAAACAGACAUUGCAGCAGCUUACUAUGAAAAAUCUGACAGUGAAUGUCAGUCACUUUUAUUUACUGUGGUAUCUAAAAAUGACUGCAAUGAAUAUAAUGCAGCAGAAUGUAGCUCUCUCUCUAACAUUAGGUGUCGAUGUCAGAAAAGUUCACCAAAACCAAUAUUUCUCGACAGUUUUUUGAGACCUUACUAUCUUAUAUGUAAACAGUUUGUCCAGGGUCAUGACUAGAGGUCAUGAGUACCACAACAGUUCUAAGAGACUACAAUAUCUGUUUUAGUCAAUUUAGUUUUGUUUUGCAUUUGUGGGCUUUAUACUUCUGUAAAUUAGACUUCAGUGAAUACCCAUAGGGUACAUGUUAUCCCCGGCACAUGUAUGUACAAAUAUAACACAAAUAUUAACCACUUGCAUAAUAAAAAUAAUUAUAGAAAGAUUAUUCUACCUAAAUAUGUGUGGUGUAAAUGUGAAUACAGUACAGACCGUAAAAUACAUUAUGGACUCCUACAGAACAUAACUGUCUUUUAAAUUACAAGGUCUCAGUAUAAAAGGCCUAAUUCAUACCUGCUUUUAACAUCCAAGAUGCAAAGGAUUUGUAUUUAUAGCUCCAGCUACAAUAAAUAAAGUACCUACAUUGGCACUCGGUUGGUAAUUUUCUGGCUUCACAAUAAAUGUACAGUACAUCCUUACUGUAUAAGUAAGUAUGUGAAUACUAGGUGUCUUAGAGAACUUACAGCGAUCCUUGACAGAGACGCCUUUACGGAGCUCCAUUUGUCCUUCCGCCGGUCAAUGAUAAUGAUGAAGCCAAUACUUGCAGCAUCCAGACUGGAAACAAACAGGGGGUACAGAGGAUGUAAGUGGGACAGCUACUUUCGACCCGUUUGCCCGUUCAAUCACUUCCACUUUCACCGACAAACCGCAUCUAGUCGCGUCUUUGCAUUGACUCUGUAUGUAAUCUACCCUCGCGAAAAAAUUACGUCGUGUUCGGUGUGAACCGGUGAUGAUACAGAUAAUGAUCACAAAGUGUUUUGAUCAUGUUAUAUAGUUCAAUAUGGUUCCUUUAAAACUACAAGUAUUCUUUUUAUUGUUGGUUUGUUUUCAUUGUUGCACUUUAAAAAAUAUGCUGGUUUAUUAGUAGUUAAUUUAGUAGUAUUAUUCUUCCUAGUUUUUAUUUCUUAUUGUUUGCAUAAUGGAUUAAUAUGGAUGCUGGCUCAUUGUGUUUUCAUUCAAAGUAAUAGCUUAAUUUAUUUUCUGUCCAACUUGGGCUUGGCACAAUUUAAUUAUAUAUUUAUUUAUUUUAGUUUUGAGAGAAAUUUUAUAUUAAGUUAUGUUUAAUGUUUAAAAACCUUCUUUUUACAAUUCAAUAUAAAAAAAAAUUGACGAACACUGCAUCAGUUUAAUUUAUUGACAUAUAGAGGAUCUCUAUUGUUGACCUUGUGUUAUCAUUUUCUAUCAGUUCAAAUUACUUGGGUGAAUCAACUUAUGAUGUUUGAUUUUAAUUUGAGAGAGGUUUUUACGACUCUAGCCUGUUUUCCUCUUAAAAUGCUAUAGAUUGUUGCAUCUUUAUGUAUCACCUAAAAGGGUUAGGAAUCUAUCCAUCGUACUUUGACAAAAUAGGGGCCCCCAAACAGCAUCUUGCAUAGGGCCACCAAAAAGCCAGAAACAGCCCUGCUACUAAUGCAUCCUGUUCCAUCUAUUGUCCUGUUGGCUAACUGUUUAACAUAAGCUAUCAUUCAACAUAUACUGAUUCCAUGAUAACAUUUUAGCAAAGCUAGUUAACUGGUGGUAUGCUUACAUGCUUUAGGGUUCUAUAAAAACAGUUAUAUCC